rnacentral:lncRNA from 1 species
UUGUUUGGCAAGUGGGAGGAAGUGUCACAGCUCUUUUAUUUCUGCCACCCACAGCUUGGUGAGUAGGAGCAUUACAGCUCUUUUGCUCCCACAGUUCAGCAAAUUCUGAGUUCCUGUCCCAUGACCAAGAGGAAUGAGGAACAUGGACACCGGAGAAUGAGUAAGGCAGAGUAGAAUUUUAUUCAUCAGCGAGAGGGGACCUGAAAGCAGGUCGCCAUCUGUGAGGAUUAAAGUUAGGACCAAAUGCUGCUCAGAAAUUGUUUUAAUCUCAAAAGUAGUUGGCAAGUUUUCAGAGUUCAUUUUCAAGGCCUGGUGUAUGUGAAACAACUGAACAUUCAGAGCUAUUUCAUUUUCAAAGAUUCUCACAUAUGAUUAUGUACACUAAGUUCAAGGACUGACGUCCUUAUAAAAAGAGAGGGUACACACACAGCCAACAGAGAGAAGAAGGUCAUACGAAGACACGCAGAAUUUGGACUUAUGCGGUCACAAGUCAAGGAGUGCUUGGAGCUACCGGGAGAUGGAAGAGUCAAGGCAGGAUUUUCCCUGGAAGAUUUGGAAGGAACAUAUUUCUCCUGAAACCUUGAUUCUAGCCUUCACUAAUGACAGAGAAUAAAUUUCUGUUCUUUUAAGCCACUCAGUUUGUGGUACUUUGUCUUACAGAAACCCUGGGACACUAAUAAAUUUCCUAAGUGGUAUACAUAACAUCUUCUAACAUUAUGAUUCUAUGGAAUGCUUUGAUAAUCAGCUAAAAGUUAUCGGCUGUCUCCCAGGAAAGAUGCACAAACAUACAUAUUCAACAUUUUGUGUUCAAUUUUUCAAGUUUCCAGGAUUUCCAGGGCCUCUCUACAGAUCCUCUUCGUAUCUACACAGCUGAUUGUGAACUCUGUUCUUAUACAAUGUAUCCAAAGUAAAUUAACUACAAUACAACUGUGAUUAUGCCAUUCCAAAUUAUAAAUAUUAACAUCCUUUCUGAACUACAAGACCCUCUACAGUAUGACUGCAUUUGUACAUACUGCAGCUCUCCUGCUGAACCAUCCUUUGUUCUUAUCAUACCAAACACAUACGUUUCCAGGACACACUAUGCCUCUGUGCCUUUGCACAUGCUAUGCGCUGCCUGGGACUCCCUAACUUCCAUCUGCACAUAACCUUCUAAUGAAUUUCCAGGCAUUCUGGAAGUUUUAUAUCACUCAUUUUAUCUAUGAAUCAAAUGAUCUCACUGACAAAGUAUUAUGUUGCUUUUACAACAUGAUUCAAGUCCUUGACUGUGACGUAUUCCUGAAAUACAAGGUGCUUUAUUUUGAGUGUAAGAAAAUUUUAAUUAUAAUAUUAUAUUGUAAUAUGUGGUUUAAAUUUCUAUAUGCAUGCAUCAUAUUUCCAAUUUCUUACAGAAAAGAAUUAUUAUAAUUGUAUAAUAUAUAAUGUAUAACACUAAAUAUACUAUAGUAUUAAAACUAUAGGCUUUUAUUUCAAUUGGUGAAGAUUAAAAUCUUAGAAUCAUGAUCUGUGGGCAUUCUGACCUUGACUAAAUGCAUACACUUUAUGUAUCUAAGCUUUCUUCACUGUAAACUGGUAAAAAUGCACUUAAUUCAAAAAAUUGUGAGGAUCAAAGUAAAGUCUAAAACUUUAGUACGGCAUCAGGUAUGUAGUAAGAAUUAACUUUACAGUGGUUAUAUUUAGCAAAUCUUAUUAGUUUAUACAUUUAUAAGACUAUAGCAACAUGUCUUAGUUUAUAAGUAAUACCUCAAACCCUUUAUUUUCCUGGUAAUUUAUCCACUGAAGAAAGUGAGCUUUGUUGAUUGCAUACUCAUGGUUCAGUUCGAUGUGGUCAUUUUUCUCUUUACAUUCUGCUAAAUGGCUGCUGGAUUUAGAGAUUUUCAUCCCUUUGACAUGGUUAUAGAUGAUUAUAGAUAGUAUCUGGAAAGAUCUAUUAAAAAAUGCUAUCUGGUUGUCUAUCUUUUUGUGAUUUUAGUAGCCAUUAAUGCUACUACUUGUAUCUAUUAAUUCAUUGGCAGUUGCAAUAUGAAAGUAUUCUAAUGCUAUCACUUCUCUUUUUUAUUAUUAUCUGAGAUGUUGUUAUACAGAGACACAUUCCAGCAUCAAUUAUGUGGUAAUCCAGUGGUUGAUAUGGGAAGGCAGUGUGAAUGUUUAUUUUUUUAAAUGAAUCUAAA